rnacentral:ncRNA from 1 species
ACCCGAGUAUAUCAGCUAUAUUACAAGGCUAUAGACCCAUUGAGUACAUCAAUGUGCCAAUUUAUAGCCGACAGGCCCGGGUAAUCUUUGAAAUUUCAUCAUGAUAGGAAUAGAUCAUUGCAAUUGUUGGUCUUCAAUGAGGGAUUCUUAGUAAGCGCGAGUCAUCAGCUUGCGUUGAUUCGUCCC